rnacentral:rRNA from 1 species
UACGAAGGGGGCUAGCGUUGUUCGGAUUUACUGGGCAUAAAGCGCACGUAGGCGGAUCGUUAAGUCGGGGGUGAAAUCCUGGAGCUCAACUCCAGAACUGCCUUCGAUACUGGCGAUCUUGAGUCCGGAAGAGGUGAGUGGAACUCCUAGUGUAGAGGUGGAAUUCGUAGAUAUUAGGAAGAACACCAGUGGCGAAGGCGGCUCACUGGUCCGGUACUGACGCUGAGGAGCGAAAGCGUGGGGAGCAAACAGG